AAUAGACUACCGUCUAUUCUUUGACAAUGACAAUGAGAACCUUAAUAAUGUUCAACUUUUAGUAUUCGGAGACGUCUAUUGGAACUGCAGUUGAAAAUAGAAAUCACACUACUGUAGAGGGUGAUGUCCGACUUCUACGUGUGCACCAUGUUACUGAAGAACGCGACUAAGUGUGACGGAUUCUCUAUUCUUCGAAAAGGCUGCAAGCUAGGCGAGUCACAUGUUCUCUCAAAAAAUCAGACUCCUCAUGCUUGGUUCAGAGCUUCCAGAAGGCAACGCAUCAACGUUCUUGGCUUCUUAAUGGAAGGUCACACACAUAGUUGUGGGAUAAGAAAUGAAAAUCGAUGAAUGAAAGAACGGAUUUAUUAAUGUAAUUAAAAAUUUUAACACUCCGAAUUUCCCGCUAAUCUAGUCGUAGAUAAGCCUGGCCAGUUAUAAAUGAACAAAUCGAAUGAAUUUGUAUCCCUGGUUUUCAAUCAUUUUUUCUUUUCGCAAAAGCGCUCAUUAAGGUUGAAAUAGGUGAAGAUGCUUCUGUUGUGGUGUCCGUUAUAUUUUGCACGUGAUCAUCUAUGUUUGUUGGUAUUUCUGGCUGCGUCGCAUCCGGAAUACUAAUUUGGAAUUGUAGUAACACCACUAAGUACGUCACCAUUGUUGCUAGUAACUGUAAAAUAAUGUUAUGUAAAAAGCUAGUACUACAAGCCAAAGUGUAGGUACUAAUAAAUGUCUGUUCCAAGGCGUCUA